UACAGAGGUCCCAAGCGUUGUUCGGAUUCAUUGGGCGUAAAGGGUGCGUAGGCGGUGAGGUAAGUCUGGUGUGAAAUCCCGGGGCUCAACCCCGGAACUGCACUGGAUACUGCUUUACUAGAGUACUGGAGAGGGAACUGGAAUUUACGGUGUAGCAGUGAAAUGCGUAGAUAUCGUAAGGAAGACCAGUGGCGAAGGCGAGUUCCUGGACAGUUACUGACGCUGAGGCACGAAGGCCAGGGGAGCAAACGGG
rnacentral:ncRNA from 2 species